rnacentral:tRNA from 1 species
GGGCUGGGGCUCAGCGGUAGAGCGCUCACCUAGCACAUGUGAGUUCCUGGGUUUGAUCCUCAGCACCACA